UUUCACCUCAAAACGGCGACCUUCCUCUUUCCCUUUAAAUUGUUCUUCUCAAUGCAUCACUUCCAAUUCACUUUCAAUUUCCAUACAUCUAAUCAUGUAUUCAAUUCAGUUUUCCAUGUAAGUUAAUUUAUGUUGAUUUCUGAUUUCUGAUGAUUUUAGGUAUAUAAAUAGUUCCAAUUUCUUCUUCCAAAACAUCUUUUUCCAGUUACUCCUCAAUUGUUACUAUAACUGUCAAGUAUUUUUCAUGGUUGUCGGGGAGACACGACGGUGUUAACGACAUCACUCUGCAAACCUACAUCGCCAACACCAACCACCACGUGAACCCCACAGUCAAAUUUCCCCCUCUGUUCGCACGCACCUGCCGCAUCCAUCAACUUUGAAGUAGACCUCAUCACAAAUGCUCAGCAAUUCCACUUCUAUGCAAAGCUGCAAAUUUGACGCCUGAGAAAAAUGAUUUUGUUGUCUUUUAAGCCGGCAAAAAAGUGAGAGCCAAGAUUCUGAAAAAUCUGUGAUGCCUUUGGUGCCAAUCGAUACCCGUUUGCUAAGGAACUUGGAAAACAAGCUCAAAUAAUUACAGAGGUAUGCAUAUUGAUUGUUAUUUCUUUUGAGCAAAAGAUAUUGCUUGAAAAUAUUAAUAAUCAAUAUAGUUGCUUGUUGGUAGAAUUAUAUUUUCAACUUAUAGUUAGUUCUACUUAUUCAAAGGGGAAUAAGAAAAUUAUUCAAAUUGAUUCAAUAUAGAAUGUUUUUGUUGGUUGGUUUUAGGACUUGAGAUAUUGGAUUUUCCAUGUAAUCAGUUUUUGAACCAAGAACCUGUGAGUAGCCUAGAUGCAGAACAAUUUACCCGUAAAAGAUUCACAACCGAGUAUCCACUUUUCAUAAAGGUAAUGUGUUGUUUAUUUGUGUAGGGAUCUCGAUACUUUGUUUGGUUGUUCUAAAUACUCUGCCUUUAUGUUAAUUUUGUUAAAUUUGGUAUGUCAUUUAUCAAAUACCAUUUAUGAUCCUUUUAAAUGUAUAACCAUUGGAUCCAUCUGAGAAUGUGUUUUUUGUUGGUUACUGGAAUGAAGAUAUUGGUUUUUCCUUGCAAUCAGUUUUUUAACUAAGCUGCAACCAUUACUGUUGUGGAGAUCGAUGGCGAGGGUUCUAUUUUGAGUAGCUUAACCACUUUGUCUCCACAUGGAACCAGGGAUCUUAAAGAGUUUGUUAGAGAAAUUAAAGAUGACUUUGAGACUGCUUCUAAUCAUGGAAAAAGAAGUUAUGUUUCUUCUCGAGACUUACAAACCUACUUAUCAGUCAAGAGUUGUUGCAUUUAGAGAUGCUAGCACCUUAUGGCCCAACUUCGCAUCCUCCAUCUGGGUCACCGAUACAUUUUGCUUCUAGGACAAUGAAGUUGGCAAAAACAUCCUGUGGAGAAAAGCUCAUUGAAAUUAUAAUUAGGCUUUACUUGUGUCUCUAGGUAUGUUUCAGCGAGUUAUGGAAAUGGGAAAAAGAGGAAGAUUGAAAGACAAUCAUGCCUUGAAAAUAACCUCCUAUUAAGAUUUCGAUUUUUUAGAAUUUUCAAUUUCACCAUUUAUGUUUUCAAUUUGGAACUAUUAUAGUUUUCUUUCAUAUUGUGGUGAUGUGUUUUGCUACUUUCUAGGCGUUGGCGGAUGGUUUUUCGGGUAAUUUUUAAGUUGUUCUGAUAUUUCAAUUUAGUGCAGACGUAUAUUGAACUUGAUCAAAGAAUCCUUGUUGCAGCAGAUCUAUAUUUGUUCCUAAACUACACAAUUUGACAAAUUAGUCUUCGGGCACA